UAAGCUCUGCAAGAGGGAGAGCACAAAGCAAUUCCAUGACUCUAAGAUCAAGUUCCCCUUGGUGUUCAAGAAAGUCAGGCCACCUAGCAGGAAACUCAAAACCACAUACAAGGCUACUAGGCCCAACCUGUUCAUGUAACAUGUUUGGUCACAUGUGCAUUGAGAAGCAACUUCUGAUUUCUGCAAUUUUGGUGAUUUAAGAUUCAUUGUGAUAGAGAGAAGGUUUUCCCUUUUUGUUCUGAUCAAAUGAUGGUGGUUAUUAGGAAUAUUUUCAAGCCUGUUCAUGUAACAUGCUUGGUCACAUGUGCAUUGAGAAGCAACUUCUGAUUUCUGCAAUUUUGGUGAUUUAAGAUUCAUUGUGAUAGAGAGAAGGUUUUCCCUUUUUGUUCUGAUCAAAUGAUGGUGGUUAUUAGGAAUAUUUUCAAGCAUGGUAUUUUGUUUGGUUUUAUUGUUGCAGUUCACUUUUGCAAAUUUCACCUUCCUGCGUUUAAAGCAAGACUUACUGAAACAAUCACGCCUUAGCAGGACUAGCUAAUACAUUUUUUUGUUAGGAUUGGUGUAUGUUGCCCUUUUAUGAUGCAGUUCUAGGAUAUUUCCCAGCGGUUACCAGUGAUCAUGCGUACCCGGUCUAACAAUCCAGAUAAAUUUGGGAAGAAUAGCGUGUACCCAGACAUUAUUCCUACUCGGAAAAAGGUCAACAAAUGGCAUCUUCCUACUUGUCAGAUUGAAGAAGAGAAAACUAAGCAAGCUUAUAUAUGAGCCGUCUUAAUGUACAAGCUUUAUUGCCAUAUUUUGUUGUUUGUCUUGGAUGAUGAAGCGUUAGUUGUUUUACUGCUAGCUACUUGCCUCUCUCUACUCUUGUAAAGAAGGCAUGGAUAUGCCUGAUCACGCCUAACUCUAGUCCUAAAAAGGAUAAGCGGUAACUGCAAAUAUAAAUCGGUCUAAAAGUUUGAAGUCAAAUCCCAUAGAAAAUUAA
rnacentral:lncRNA from 1 species